UGGUCUUGACAUCCACGGAAUCUUGCAGAGAUGCGAGAGUGCCUUCGGGAACCGUGAGACAGGUGCUGCAUGGCUGUCGUCAGCUCGUGUCGUGAGAUGUUGGGUUAAGUCCCGCAACGAGCGCAACUCUUGUCCUUAGUUGCCAGCGCGUAAUGGCGGGAACUCUAAGGAGACUGCCGGUGACAAACCGGAGGAAGGUGGGGAUGACGUUUCUAGGAGGGUG
rnacentral:misc_RNA from 1 species